rnacentral:rRNA from 2 species
CGGUAAUACGUAGGUGGCAAGCGUUAUCCGGAUUUAUUGGGCGUAAAGAGAGUGCAGGCGGUUUUCUAAGUCUGAUGUGAAAGCUUCGGCUUAACCGGAGAAGUGCAUCGGAAACUGGAUAACUUGAGUGCAGAAGAGGGUAGUGGAACUCCAUGUGUAGCGGUGGAAUGCGUAGAUAUAUGGAAGAACACCAGUGGCGAAGGCGGCUACCUGGUCUGCAACUGACGCUGAGACUCGAAAGCAUGGGUAGCGAACAGGAUUAGAUACCCUGGUAGUCCAUGCCGUAAACGAUGAGUGCUAGGUGUUGGAGGGUUUCCGCCCUUCAGUGCCGGAGCUAACGCAUUAAGCACUCCGCCUGGGGAGUACGACCGCAAGGUUGAAACUCAAAGGAAUUGACGGGGGCCCGCACAAGCGGUGGAGCAUGUGGUUUAAUUCGAAGCUACGCGAAGAACCUUACCAGGUCUUGACAUCUUGCGCCAACCCUAGAGAUAGGGCGUUUCCUUCGGGAACGCAAUGACAGGUGGUGCAUGGUCGUCGUCAGCUCGUGUCGUGAGAUGUUGGGUUAAGUCCCGCAACGAGCGCAACCCUUGUUACUAGUUGCCAGCAUUAAGUUGGGCACUCUAGUGAGACUGCCGGUGACAAACCGGAGGAAGGUGGGGACGACGUCAGAUCAUCAUGCCCCUUAUGACCUGGGCUACACACGUGCUACAAUGGACGGUACAACGAGUCGCGAACUCGCGAGGGCAAGCAAAUCUCUUAAAACCGUUCUCAGUUCGGACUGCAGGCUGCAACUCGCCUGCACGAAGUCGGAAUCGCUAGUAAUCGCGGAUCAGCAUGCCGCGGUGAAUACGUUCCCGGGCCUUGUACACACCGCCCGUCACACCAUGAGAGUUUGUAACACCCAAAGUCGGUGGGGUAACC